rnacentral:rRNA from 1 species
AUACAGAGACUGCGAGCGUUAUUCGGAUUCACUGGGCGUAAAGGGUGCGCAGGCGGCCGAGUGUGUGAGGCGUGAAAGCCCGGGGCUUAACCCCGGAAUUGCACCUCAAACUACACGGCUAGAGCAUUGGAGAGGGUAGCAGAAUUCAUGGUGUAGCAGUGAAAUGCGUAGAUAUCAUGAGGAAUACCUGAGGCGAAGGCGGCUACCUGGACAAUUGCUGACGCUCAGGCACGAAAGCGUGGGGAGCAAAAGGGA